rnacentral:rRNA from 1 species
CCUACGGGGGGCAGCAGUGAGGAAUAUUGGUCAAUGGACGAGAGUCUGAACCAGCCAAGUAGCGUGAAGGAUGACUGCCCUAUGGGUUGUAAACUUCUUUUAUAUGGGAAUAAAAUGUUCCACGUGUGGGAUUUUGUAUGUACCAUAUGAAUAAGGAUCGGCUAACUCCGUGCCAGCAGCCGCGGUAAUACGGAGGAUCCGAGCGUUAUCCGGAUUUAUUGGGUUUAAAGGGAGCGUAGGUGGAUUGUUUAGUCAGUUGUGAAAGUUUGCGGCUCAACCGUAAAAUUGCAGUUGAAACUGGCAGUCUUGAGUACAGUAGAGGUGGGCGGAAUUCGUGGUGUAGCGGUGAAAUGCUUAGAUAUCACGAAGAACUCCGAUUGCGAAGGCAGUUCACUGGACUGCAACUGACACUGAGGCUCGAAAGUGUGGGUAUCAAACAGGAUUAGAUACCCGGGUAGUC